UACGUAGGGUGCGAGCGUUGUCCGGAAUUAUUGGGCGUAAAGGGCUCGUAGGCGGUCUGUCGCGUCGAAAGUGAAAACCCAGGGCUUAACCCUGGGCCUGCUUCCGAUACGGGCAGACUAGAGGUAUGCAGGGGAGAAUGGAAUUCCUGGUGUAGCGGUGAAAUGCGCAGAUAUCAGGAGGAACACCGGUGGCGAAGGCGGUUCUCUGGGCAUUACCUGACGCUGAGACGCGAAAGCGUGGGGAGCGAACAGG
rnacentral:rRNA from 1 species